rnacentral:rRNA from 1 species
CAGCAGCCACGGUAAUACGUAGGGGGCAAGCGUUGUCCGGAAUUACUGGGCGUAAAGGGCGCGUAGGCGGACAGUUAAGUUGGGGGUGAAAGCCCGGGGCUCAACCUCGGAAUUGCCUUCAAUACUGGCUGUCUUGAGUAUGAGAGAGGUGUGUGGAACUCCGAGUGUAGAGGUGAAAUUCGUAGAUAUUGGGAAGAACACCGGUGGCGAAGGCGGCGACCUGGUCCAUUACUGACGCUGAGGCGCGAAAGCGUGGGGAGCAAACAGGAUUAGAUACCCCAGUAGUCCCUGUCUCUUAUAC